rnacentral:sRNA from 1 species
GCUGGGCAUGGUGGUGUGUGCCUGUAGUCCCAGCUACUGGGGAGGUUGAGUUGGGAGGAUCACUUGAGCCCAGGAAGUCGGGGCUGCAGUGAGCCAGGAUUGUGCCACUGUACUCCUAGGAAACAGAGUAAGACCCUAUCCUAAAAAAAAAAAAAAGGUGGGGAGUGGGCACAGUGACUCACGUCUAUAGUCCCAGCACUUUGGGAGGCCAAGGUGAGAAGAUUGCCUGAGCCCAUGGGUUCGAGACCAGCCUGGGCAACUUGGUGAGACCCCAUCUCU